UACGGUGAGGGGCUAGCGUUGUCCGGAAUCACUGGGCGUAAAGGGCGCGUAGGCGGCCUGGUAAGUAGGGGGUGAAAUCCUGCGGCUUAACCGCAGGGCUGCCUUCUAAACUGUCAGGCUCGAGCACGGUAGAGGCAGAUGGAAUUCCCGGUGUAGCGGUGGAAUGCGUAGAGAUCGGGAAGAACAUCAGUGGCGAAGGCGGUCUGCUGGGCCGUUGCUGACGCUGAGGCGCGACAGCGUGGGGAGCAAACAGG
rnacentral:rRNA from 1 species